CUGUCUGUCUGUCUGUCUGUCCCCUCUGUCUUCUCUCCCUCACACCGAGGAGGUUGCUAUUGAACGAGAGGAGAAACGUGAGUCAGCUGAGGAGGACAAAUGGAGGUUCCUAUGCUGAUUAUUGUCUGCAACCCAACUCCAAUCAGAGGCCUGAAGAGAGGAGAGGAAAGAUGAUAUGAAGGUAGAGGAACAGUGGAUGACUUUUACUCUUUUAUUUAGAUCUAGAGUAACUGUCUGAAUCCCAGUAGAGGGAGAGGGAGGGGGAGAGAGAGAGAGAGAGAGAGAGAGAGAGAGAGAGAGAGAGAGAGAGAGAGAGAGAGAGAGAGAGAGAGAGAGAGAGAGAGCAUUUCCCAUGCCAAUAAAGCCCUUAAAUUGAAUUGAAUUGAGAGACAGAGAGGGAGGGAGAGCGAGUAAGAGUGAGAGUGAAAGAAAUAACUGGAGAGGACCAUUUUUGGAAGCAGAAUAAACAGAGGAUGAGAGCGUGGGAGCAAGCUUGGGAGCAAUCCUUGGAGGAGGGGCGGUUGAAGUAGUGGAAGCUAAUAUUAUGGAUGAACUACAGGAAAUCAAAUCAAAAUGUUUUCUAAAUGCAUGCCUGAGAAAGAAAGAAAGAAAGAAAGAAAGAAAGAAAGAAAGAAAGAAAGAAAGAAAGAAAGAAAGAACAAUGGUGACUUGUGAAAAGAGAAAGAGUCAAACAAGUAAGAGGAGACCUGGGGAGAAAUCAGAAUAAAUACUCUGGAUAAACAAUACUAGACACAUUGGAGCAUGUUAAACAUAGCGAGAAGAGAGAGCGAGAGAGAGAGAGAGAGAGAGAGAGAGAGAGAGAGAGAGAGAGAGAGAGAGAGAGAGAGAGAAGAGGGAGUGAAUGAAUCUAGCAGACCAAGGCUUCGACAACAAGCUAGGACGCAAUUAUGUGAUUAUAUUUCACAUCUGGAGAGAAAUCUGAUUUUUUAAAUCUGGAUUAACAAUACUAGGCACACGGGAGAAUGUUCAACAUAGCGAGAAGAGAUAGAGAGAGAGAGAGAGAGAGACUUCUUAGAAGUGCAACACAGCUGCCACCGUCAUGUAUGGAUGUCAUGCUAUGAGGAUAUCUCAUAAACACAUGGAGACUCUUCACAGACUGCCCACGAGAGAGAUAUCACAUUGCUACUAUGCAGAGAUGACCACAUCUGACUAUUUUAUGGUGUCAAGUCCAUGCACAAGUAAUAACACAUAGAAAAACCACGAGGAAUUUAAUUUAGACUGUACAAUGAAGGAAAUGACCAUUCCAUGUAAAUCAAUGAUUUUAAAUAUAUUUAUUGAAAGUGUUGCAGAGGCACAGUACAAUACGACCAUUAUUAUUUACAGAUUGUUGUAAGAGAUUAUGAUGAAUAUAUACUAUGUCCGAUAUACAGGUAACUGACUAAAUAAAGGAAACACCAACAUAAAGUGUCUUCAUAGGGUGUUGGGGCACCACUAUCUGCCGGAAAACAGCUUCAAUCCACCUUUGCAUAGAUUCUACAAGUGUUUGACACCUUUCCUUCCAUCAUUUGGUGUGUUGUUGACUGUGGUGGAGAUCUGGUGAUCUAAGACACACACACACACACACACACACACACACACACACACACACACACACACACACACACACACACACACACACACACACACACACACACACACACACACACACACACACACACACACACACACACACACA